AAACAUGUUUUCUAGGGUUCCGUAACGAAUACGUUAGCCUGGUCCGAGAGAAAACUCAUAGUUGAUUAAACUAUGCCACGGAAGGAUAAAAGCCUGGGAGAA
rnacentral:sRNA from 2 species